rnacentral:rRNA from 1 species
GACGAACGCUGGCGGCGUGCCUAAUACAUGCAAGUAGAACGCUGAAACUUGGUGCUUGCACCGAGUGGAUGAGUUGCGAACGGGUGAGUAACGCGUAGGUAACCUGCCUGGUAGCGGGGGAUAACUAUUGGAAACGAUAGCUAAUACCGCAUAAGAGUAGAUGUUGCAUGACAUUUGCUUAAAAGGUGCAAUUGCACCACUACCAGAUGGACCUGCGUUGUAUUAGCUAGUUGGUGGGGUAACGGCUCACCAAGGCGACGAUGCAUAGCCGACCUGAGAGGGUGAUCGGCCACACUGGGACUGAGACACGGCCCAGACUCCUACGGGAGGCAGCAGUAGGGAAUCUUCGGCAAUGGACGGAAGUCGGACCGAGCAACGCCGCGUGAGUGAAGAAGGUUUUCGGAUCGUAAAGCUCUGUUGUAAGAGAAGAACGAGUGCGAGAGUGGAAAGUUCACACUGUGACGGUAUCUGACCAGAAAGGGACGGCUAACUACGUG